AUUCUUCUUAAAAUUCUAUUUUAACAACUUCCCCUGAAGCAUCUUGCAAAUUAUCUCUCUUGAAAGAGGAUUGUUAUUCUGACCCUUUCAUUUUAGAAUUGCAGAAAGUGAGAUUUUCCACUGAUGAGCUGUUUGAGUUCAGACUAGUCACGGAAACUGGUCUAACACAAACUGAUGCUAGAAAACGGGAAACUUGGGCAAAGAAGAGGAAUCUCAUGCAGUGCCCAGAUGUAUUUUCAGGUCCUAACCUUUUCCAAGUUUUUAUCAGAAUAUAUCAAUUUCAUCAUCUUCAGCCAAUGCAAACCAGAUCAACUAGACAGGAUUAGAAUGACUUUCUCUAGUCACGUGUCAGAAUUGAACAUCUGCUUCCUGAACUAUCAAGAUGCACUGAACUACUCAUUUGACUCAAACGGAAAGAUUAUCAGAGCAGCAUGUCAGCUCUCUUUCUAACUUCAGAUAUUAUUUGUCACCUGGCCUUUUGUCACUGACCUGACUGACAAUGAAUGUUUUUCCUGGUUUUCACCUCUGCUGAAAUCAGGGCUUCCAUUGAAUGUUAUGCUAAUACCACGCUUAUGAUUAUGGCCACAGUGAUUGUGGAUUAUGGUGUUUAUGGCAACUCAAAUAUUUCAGGCUUCUUUCUUCAGUGUACAUGACAGGAGCACACUUUUUCUGUUUCUUUAAAGUUGAGCAUG
rnacentral:lncRNA from 1 species